GGGCCCGUAGCCUAGCUGGAUAGGGCGCCGGCCUUCUAAGCCGGAGAUCGUGGGUUCGAAUCCCACCGGGUCCG
rnacentral:tRNA from 1 species